CUUCCUUUAGAGUUUGAGGCUUCAUCAACAUGUAAUAUCUAGUAAAGAUCUUUAAUGAUCUCUUUUGGGCUUUCUAAGGCUAGUUUUUCAUCAAGAAUGGUAUACUUCAUAAUAAAAUCAACUAAUAUUUGAGCCUUUAGUAAAGAUCGAGAUCGAUAAUGGAUGUUGAACUUACUAAGUUCAAUAGUCCACUUGGCUAUCUGACCUAAAUUAUCAAAUCAUUGUAGGAUUGAUUUCAGAGGUUGAUUAGUUAAUAUGAUAAUUGAGUGGGCUUGAAAAUGAGAUCGAAGUCGUCGGGCCGAUGCAAUA
rnacentral:lncRNA from 1 species